ACCUACGGGGGGCAGCAGUGGGGAAUAUUGCACAAUGGGGGGAACCCUGAUGCAGCAAUGCCGCGUGAAGGAUGAAGGUUUUCGGAUUGUAAACUUCUUUUGUACGGGACGAAGAAAGUGACGGUACCGUAAGAAUAAGCCACGGCUAACUACGUGCCAGCAGCCGCGGUAAUACGUAGGGGGCAAGCGUUAUCCGGAUUUACUGGGUGUAAAGGGAGCGUAGGCGGCAGUGCAAGUCAGAAGUGAAAGCCCGGGGCUCAACUCCGGGACUGCUUUUGAAACUGUACAGCUUGAUUGCAGGAGAG
rnacentral:rRNA from 1 species